CAUAAGAAUCACGUUCACAAAAACACCCAGAGUCAGAACAAGCAUUCGUGGAUUAGACAAAUGCAUGCCCUACGGGGACAUCGAAAUCGCGACACUACGUACUCAGUGGGUUUGGUGUGGUGACCUCAACCACUGGGCUAUCCGUGCAGUCAGUCAUUUUUAUACAAGCGAGUGUUACUACACUUAAUUAUAAUUAUGGAUAUAGUGCUUUUUUAGAGUGGAUUUUUUUACUAUAGAGGCAAUAUGAUUCCCAAUUCCUUUAAAAAAUCAUGCAUGUUGCAUGAGCAACGCUUGGGGGCGGGCCGGAUAUCGCCAGAAAAUAUCGCUAUCACAAAAAAAUAUUUUUUGGGGAUUCCCGCAAAAGGACCUAACGCUGUCGUGGGGAAUUCCCCGUCCCGUACCUACUCGCGACCUUGGGCGUCUUAGAGUUACAAUAUUUAGUUUCGUGAAGUGGGUUGUGUUUGGUUGGCGGGAAAUGUUGCAAAUGUUGCAAUCUUGAUAUAUUAGCCCUCGAACCCGAGGCAAUGUAAAAUAUAAAUUUCGAUAAGUUAUACUGAGUUUGCAACUGUCAAAGCUAUGAACAAGAAUUGUAUCUAUUACUUUUCUAUCAUAGAAAUUAUUGUGUUUUGUUAUUUCUUCAAUAUUAUAAAUAAUAAAUGGCGUAAGUCUAUCAUCAUAUAAAAUUUAUUGCUUUUUACUUUCGAUAAGGUGACACCACCAAAUUCUGCGCCGGGUGGCGCACACACAAUGACACAAGGUAGCUACGGCACUGAUUGACAUGAGCAGAUUCUAUUUAAAAGAGAGCCGAGUGGUUGAGGUCACCACGCCGAACUCACAGACCACGACGUGUCGCAGGCUCGCUUCCCGCGUAGGACAAGCAUUUGUGUGAUGAUGUGAGCAAGUAUGCGGUUUUUGAAUGUUUGUGAAAACCCCCGCAACACAAGGAUUAAAUUCCCUAAUACAGGUGACGCUUUAAAAAAAACGAUGACAAGAAAUGGUGGGUCGUUGAAGUAUUAAAAUAAAAUUAUCCUGUACCUGUA